UACGUAGGGGGCGAGCGUUGUCCGGAUUUAUUGGGCGUAAAGAGCUCGUUGGCGGUUCGGCAAGUCAGGUGUAAAAACUCCAGGCUCAACUUGGAGAGGCCAUCUGAUACUGCCGUGACUAGAGUCCGGUAGAGGAGCACGGAAUUCCUGGUGUAGCGGUGAAAUGCGCAGAUAUCAGGAGGAACACCAGCGGCGAAGGCGGUGCUCUGGGCCGGAACUGACGCUGAGGAGCGAAAGCGUGGGGAGCGAACAGG
rnacentral:rRNA from 1 species